rnacentral:lncRNA from 1 species
UAAUUUUCACUUAUAGAUUUCUAGAGCUGUUUCAGUUCUAAGCUUACCUGUCAUUUUUCCCUUUUCCUGUAAUUGUCCUCUCCUGCCAAGCAGCAGAGCUGUGCCACUGUAAAUAGGCAGUCUCUAAAGUUACACAAUGGAAAACAGUUAUGUACAGGGUAUUUUAAAAUGUCCUAGGAAGUAAAUUAUGCCUCGGUUGUGAAAAGCAUUGCCUUUGUUUCUUGUGCCUUCUUCCACCACGUUUUACAUGUAAUCAUUGAGUCAUUAGCACUGGCAGAGUAAAGCCUUCUGAAUUCUAGCAUUUGCCUAGAUAAGACCAUCUGUCACUCACUCCCUGUAGUUACACAGUCCAGUGAAUCUUGCCAACUCAAGUCGUUUGUACAUUUUCUGGUACUUUUAUAUCAUUGUUUUAUUUCAUAAAGUAAUGACACUGUUUAUCUGUUGUGGACAACUUGUUGAUGGUUCAAGAAGUAAUGACGGAUUCUACCAUGGGGCUUCUACCUGACUGCUGUUCCCAUUUGAGUAUGGCGUUUGUUGUUGGUUUUUGUUUUUGGUGCUGAGGAUUAAAUUUAAGGGUUUUUGUAUUAUAGGCAAAUGUCUUGUAUCCUAGUAUAUACACAGGCGUUGUGUUUUACUAAUUAUUUGCAGUGGUACGUAUCAAAUCCAAGAUCUCGUGCAUUCUAUGAACAUGCUAAACCACAGAGCGAGAACCCCCAUCCUGUUUUUGAGGCAGGGUCUGGUAUAUUGCUUAGGCUACUCCUAAUCUCCUUCCAGAAUUUUGUAAUCCCCGUCUCAAGCUCCUUCAGUACUUACAGGUAUUUGCUACCACACUGAGCAAGGUCAUCUUUUAAUAUUUUUUGAGUACCUAUUUUUAACUUUAGUAGCAAGUUUUUAAAAUGCACAUUUUACUUAAUGUUAUUUUGCAGAUUAUGAGGUUUGUUUAAAAUUCCUUCAUAAUGUAAAUAUUUGUAUAAUAAUAUAUUAUUCAGGUACAUUUUCUGAUGAAUUGUAUUUUUAAUUCAGAAGGUAAGGAUCCUAGUUUUGUACUUUUUAAAAAUAUAGUUGCAUACCUGUUUACAAAUGUGUAUAAAGAUGUGUUUUUACCUCUUGUUCAACCUACCUUCUUGAAUUAGUUAGUAAAUUGAUCUAAUUAAAGC